rnacentral:rRNA from 1 species
UACAGAGGUGGCAAGCGUUGUUCGGAAUUACUGGGCGUAAAGGGCGAGUAGGUGGCCAUCUAAGUCAGACGUGAAAUCCCCCGGCUUAACCUGGGAACUGCGUCUGAUACUGGACGGCUAGAGUAUGGGAGAGGGAUGUAGAAUUCCAGGUGUAGCGGUGAAAUGCGUAGAUAUCUGGAGGAACACCGGUGGCGAAGGCGGCAUCCUGGACCGGUAUUGACGCUGAGGCGCGAAAGCCAGGGGAGCAAACGGG